GCCUCCGUGGUGGAAUGGUAGACGCUGCGGACUUAAAAUCCGUUGUCCGCAAGGACGUGCCGGUUCGAGUCCGGCCGGAGGCA
rnacentral:tRNA from 1 species